GAAGGCUUUAGCUUAAUUAAAGUGCUUGAGUUGCAUUCAGGAGAUACAAAUUAAUAUUUGUAAGUUUUG
rnacentral:tRNA from 1 species